GGGUGAGUAAUGUCUGGGAAACUGCCUGAUGGAGGGGGAUAACUACUGGAAACGGUAGCUAAUACCGCAUAACGUCGCAAGACCAAAGAGGGGGACCUUCGGGCCUCUUGCCAUCAGAUGUGCCCAGAUGGGAUUAGCUAGUAGGUGGGGUAAUGGCUCACCUAGGCGACGAUCCCUAGCUGGUCUGAGAGGAUGACCAGCCACACUGGAACUGAGACACGGUCCAGACUCCUACGGGAGGCAGCAGUGGGGAAUAUUGCACAAUGGGCGCAAGCCUGAUGCAGCCAUGCCGCGUGUGUGAAGAAGGCCUUCGGGUUGUAAAGCACUUUCAGCGAGGAGGAAGGUGGUGAGCUUAAUACGCUCAUCAAUUGACGUUACUCGCAGAAGAAGCACCGGCUAACUCCGUGCCAGCAGCCGCGGUAAUACGGAGGGUGCAAGCGUUAAUCGGAAUUACUGGGCGUAAAGCGCACGCAGGCGGUUUGUUAAGUCAAAUGUGAAAUCCCCGGGCUCAACCUGGGAA
rnacentral:rRNA from 1 species